UACGUAGGGUGCGAGCGUUACUCGGAAUUACUGGGCGUAAAGCGUGCGCAGGCGGUUUUGUAAGCCAGAUGUGAAAUCCCCGGGCUCAACCUGGGAAUGGCAUUUGGGACUGCAAGGCUUGAGUGCGGCAGAGGAGACUGGAAUUCCUGGUGUAGCAGUGAAAUGCGUAGAUAUCUGGAGGAACACCGGUGGCGAAGGCGGCAUCCUGGACCGGCAUUGACGCUGAGGCGCGAAAGCCAGGGGAGCAAACGGG
rnacentral:rRNA from 1 species